AAGCGGCAGAGGAAAGGGUUAAAACAAAGCGCCGCCUCCAUCCAACCAACCGGCUCGCCAGCACCCGGCACGUCACCACCACCACCAAGCGCAGGCGCGGAAGGGCAGGCUCUGUGACAUCACGCGCCGCACUCUCCCACGCAGGAGACGGGUGGGGGGGGUGUGCGCCGCCGCAAGGCUUCCAGCCAGAAAGCCGCCGAGCUUCUCGAGCUUUUGCUGCGCAUGCGCCCACGCUGCCGUCGCCCCUCGAGUUCGCUUGGCGGAGGGGGGAAACCCACCUCUCCGCGCGUGCGCAAAAUCUUCCUGCGCAUGCGGGGAAAGGGGAAGCGGAGAAUUCCGCGCGCGCGCGCUGUUCGAGGGAGCGCGAAGGAUAUUGGAUUUCGUUUUAUUGACUUGUGCUGCCUCAAAUGGGAAGGCUGAGUCGCUGCGCCUCCACAGAAAAUGUAUGUACUGAGGUGGAGGAAAGCUGAGCUAUGAAACUCCUUGCCACAAGUAAAACAGUGGCGAAGAAUGUAGCCCUUUCCAAAGGUUAGAAGCGGCUACUCAGGUCAGUGCCGCUGUACGAGAAAAAAGUAUUAUUUAAAAGAAUCCCUGCGCAAAAGGAUUUGCAAAAGAGAGGAUGCGUCGAAUGUAGGGUUGGAAAUGAUCUCAAGAGUCUCUUCUAAACCUCUGCAAUGCAGGAAUCUCAACUAUAAAAAAAGAGCAAUGCAGUGAACCGUCUGGAACAUCUUCACUAUCGACUUGAUGUAUCUGACGUAGUUGGCUCAUGCCUUUGAAAGCUCAUGUAGCAACCAUCCUAAUUAAAAUCCAGCUUUUACCAAACUUACUUGAUUGCUGUUUGUUAUUCCUUCUUUGGUAAGUUAAUUUAAAUAGUAUUACUAUAUUCCAUUUUCUAUUACAUCAUUCCAAGAAUUGACGGAGUGAAAUUUCACCUCCAAUUUGCAGCUAUAUGGAUCCUGACACCGAUAAGGAGGUUAACAAUCAUUUCCAAGUCAACAUCCUUCACUGUAAUCCCUUUAAAUAACUCAGUAGUAGCAUCUUUGGCUCUAAAGGUAAUAAAAGAAUAUUCAUUUCCCUGCCUAGACGCCAGAUUGUACUCUGAAAAGUCUUUCCCCCUUUAAAUGCAGAGGUUUAAAAAUAAAAAUAAAUAAAAAAUCCUUGGGAAGUCUAAUCUGACCAGAGCUGGAAAAACCCUGCAGUUAAGGGUAAAAAGUCCAGG